AAGCCGUAACAAGGUUUCCGUAGGUGAACCUGCGGAAGGAUCAUUACCGAGUAAGGGUCUUCAAGGCCCGACCUCCCACCCUUUGUUGUCGAACAAAUUUCUGUUGCUUUGGCGGGACCGCUCGGCCUCCGGGCCGGCUGCCGGGUCUCGUACCGGGCAAGCGCCCGCCAGAUGUCCAAUAUCAAAACACUUUGUUAAACUUUUUGUCUGAGUAAAUGAUAAAUUAAUCAAA
rnacentral:misc_RNA from 1 species